UUGCAAAAAAUAAAAUAUAAAAUGAAAAAAGGAAAAAAAGCAAGGAAAAAUCGAAGAUAUGCGUGUUUUU
rnacentral:ribozyme from 1 species